UCCCAUCUCGGCUAGUAGGCCGUUUACGUAGUACUUAGCUCCUAUUAGCUUUUUGUUGCAAUGAAUUGUGGCGUUAAACUUUUCCCCUGGUUCACAUUUUCCUCUCCAACGCUUAGGUAUUGGUCCAAGGCCUUGAUCGUUGAAUACCUUUGACUCUGGCCAUAUUCCUUUAUAUAUACAUACAUACAUGAUGUGAGACAAGGAUAUAUAUAUAUAUAGAGAGAGAGAGAGAGAGAGACCGGUAUCUAUGACGCCGAUGAUAGCUUCACUGCCCAUGUUGGUGUCAAGAAGAAGACCUUUUACAGAUGUUGUUGAGGAAGAAAAAGAAGUUGGAAUUUGAGAGAGUUCAAGGAGAUCCCAAGUUCUUGUGGUUUGCAGUUUCAGAAUCCGGUUUGGUAUAACAUGGAUUACUUCAGGAUGGUCUGUGCAAGAUUCCGGUUUUUUAAAAAAAGAUCUCUGAUAUAUGAAGUUUCUUUAGUUUGAGUUUGAGUUCUGUUUAGUACGUACCUGAUAUUUUGUUUGCUUGGGAAGAAGUAAGAAGUGCUGCGAAACCGGAAAAUCCAUGUUGAUAGCUGUAGAUCAUCGAUUUAUGUGCGUCUUCUUUGCUAUAUGUAACAUGAAGAUAUAAGUUAGAGAGCAACUCAUGAUGUGCAUUAAGAAGUAUAACAAAAAGGAGUAGGGCUUUAGUUUCGUGAAGAAACAGAACAUAGCGAGAGGAUUUCUUUGGUGGCAAGAAACUAAUGUUAAAUAAAACAUAUUCAGCAACUUUGAUGUCAUAGUCACUAUGCAUACAAAAAAAAUCUCACUAGAGAUUUGGCCUUUUGAAGAUGAUUAAGUACCUAUCAAGAAAUGAUUCAAGCAUUUGAUGAUGAGAGGCUGUAACAAGUUCGGGAUCAUCAUUUUCUCUUUCCCCAAGAUAAACUAUAUAAACCUAUGGAAUUAUUGAAAAAUACACAUUAGAUCAAAUAAAAGUCAAUAAUAUCUUAGCAAAUAUGGAAAUGUCAUUUUUGCGUUAAAUGCCUUGGUGUUGUUGUCUAUGGCUCUCGCAGGUGAAAGAAAACCCAGCUCCGUGUUAACUAAUAGAAACAAAGAAAAUGCCAAUAGAAGCACAAGUUUGUAACUUGGUAAAGAGUUCUCCAUUUUCUUUAAUGAGAAGUGUGUGUGUGUGUGGAACAAAACCUAUGUGGUUAUUUAUAUAUGUAAAUGAUUCAUUCGUCUUUCAAUUUACAGUUCAUGACCCACUUCAGCACUUAGACGUGGAGUUUUGGGUUAGACUUCGGUUAGGAUAUGUAUUUAAUUAGUUCGGCUAAGAGGAAUGUCAUACUCAAAGGACAAAAACAAGGUCACUUUGAUUAGAUUUUGUUUUGGUUUAGGUGUGAUGAUUGUACCUAUGAGUAAACAUCAUUAUUUACCAUAUGACGAUGACGAUAUGACGUAAGCGGAAGUUUGUUAGAGAAUAAGAUAUUUUCGCUCCGUUACCAUAUGAGUAAACAUCAUUAUACUCAUUAAUUAGUUUCAAAUGUACAGAGUCUGCUUAUAUACAUGACUCAACUGAAUAAACCAAAAGUAAAUAAAUCGGUUUAUAUGUACCAGUGUACAAUCAUCAGCUAUUAACCAAAACUAUACAAGAGUUUUGUACGAUAAUAGUAUCAUUAGUCUUAUAUAAUUGCAUUGUGUUCAAAAAAAAAAAGUCUUAUAUAACUGCAUUCAUUAUUUAUGUUGAUUUGAGAAAAUACUUGUCAAACUAAAACCUGACCUCAUUGCGGUUCGUUUUGUUUCAAUCAAUAUCGGUUAGUGAUCACCCUUACUAGGCACAAGAGUCGCGAUAGAAGGGAAAUAUGACAACAAUAAAUAAAAAAUUGUUAAGGUUUAAGGCAUUUUACACCUAGGUCUGAGAUUCAAAAUUAGAAGCACUGUAUCCUAAAUUCCUAAUGGUUAAGGUUUAAAGGUUUUUACACCCAGGUCGGAGGUUCAAAUCCCAGACUAUGCAAUUUAUUUGCAGAUUAUAAGAAAUCCAAAUUUCAAUUUAUUUGCAGAUUAUUAAACAAUUAUGCAAACGUAUGGAAGAAAAGCUUACAAGGAAUCUUCAACAUGGUGCAAGUAAAUCUGGUCUAGCGUGGAUCUUUAUAGGACGGCUCAGGUGAUGCGGUUAAGCGUAGGUUUUCAUAAAGCAGGUAGUAUUGUCGAUUAUCGAAUCAUCUAUGUAAUCUUCCUUAUAUCAUAAUAAAUCAGUUUUAAAAAAUAAAAAUAAAAAUUGAUUUAUUGAGUCAACCCGUGCAGGGUCAUUUCGAGUCAAACCGGUUUUAUCUCUUUUAUCAUGCGACUAAACCCCACCAAAAUGUUUUGCUCCCUUUGUCAGAUACCCACUUUCCUUAAAGCCUAAUCCUUUCCUGAAAUUGUUUUAUAGAAAUCUAUGAUUUGUUUAACUAAAUAUUAUCAGUUUGGCCUAUAAGAGGAUAUCAAUCAUAUCUGACUAAUCUAUCUAGUUAGUAAGUUAAACCAUGGUUUGUUUACGACCAUGACUGACGGAAUUUGGUAUAGAGAGAGAUGAUUAUUAUAUCUUGAUAGAGAAAUCCAAACUGAAAGAUAGAAUCAUUGACAAGAAAAAGGUUUUUAGUGAUUUAAACUCCGAACUAUUUUUAAAUCGGAAGAAAAACUACCAACUAAAAUUUUAUGCUUUUAAAUCUUCAACUAAGAUUUUGUUAGUGUAUUAAUCCCUCCGUUAACAGUUCCGAUUAAAGUGGAUGGAAAACAUUAACUUGAAACACUGAGUUUCAUUAAACCCAGGUACAUGUCAUUUUUUUAAUGAAACUCAACGUUUCAAGUCAACGUUUUCCGUCCAGUUUAGACGAAACUGUUAACGGAAGGGUUGAUACACUAACGGAAUCUUAGUUGAAAGCUUAAGAACAUAAAAUAUUAGUUGGAGGUUUUUCUUCCGANNNNNNNNNNNNNNNNNNNNNNNNNNNNNNNNNNNNNNNNNNNNNNNNNNNNNNNNNNNNNNNNNNNNNNNNNNNNNNNNNNNNNNUCCGAUCUAAAAAUAGUUCAAGGUUUAAAUCACUAAAAACCAAAAAGAAAACCAAUUCUAAUUUUUGCAUUUAUGGGUAUACGCAAAAACAUGGAAUGUGUAUAACAACAUGAAACUAUAUGGAAAAAAAAACAUGAAAUCAUAUGCUAAUAUUUCUUUUCUAGUAAAUUUUGUUCCAAUUAUCUAUAUAUUCUUAUAUAUAUUAUUUUUAUUUGAAUAGAAUUAAUCUAAUAUUACUAAGAAUUGACACUAAAUUACUAUACACAAGUAAACUUCUGUGUUACAUUUGGAUAUAUACUUUUCAUUUGUCUCUUUGUACAGCAUAUAUAUUAUAGUCAUGUGUUCAUAUUAUAGUCUUGAAUUGAAUGUGUUUUUCAUACUUGGUAGAUAAAUGGUGACCACCAAUAGUUGAAUCUGUUUGAUAGUGGAAUCUUCAAAGGUGGUACGACUGAAUUUAUUGACUCGCUUUUUAUGCACGUGCAAGAAAUAGAUUAUUUUGUGUUUUGUUUUUUCUUUUUCUGCCAAAUGAUUAUUGUGUGUUUUCUUCUUUUUAGAAAGCCAUGAUAAAUUGAUAGUUAAAUACUACUAGAAAUCUAGCAUGCAUCGCUGAUAAUCCGUAACAAAGCACCGAUUGACCCACCCACUUGUCUCUCUUCAUAAUAUAUGUCCUCGAAUACACGUUUGUGCUCAUGUUACUACGUGUUUUCAGAAUGUUGUUGUAGUAUUGUUCUUAGCUGAGUGUUGAAGAAUUUCUGAAGAACACCCUUUCACCUAUUUUGUCUUCCUGGAGAUUUUUAUGACCGUGUUAUUGUUGUAGGGUAUUUAUUGCGCAUGCAUGAUACUUUGAUCAUACUAGUUUGCGAUCAUACUAAUUAGUGUAUGUUUAUUUCUGGUUGACUACAAACUACUACAAGAUAUAUACCUAAUCAGAUAACAAAUGUUUUUACAAUAUAUAUAUAUAUAUAUAUAUAUAUAUAUAUAUAAAAUAUAUAAAUAGAUUGAUAAUCGUAACGUAAAUAAUUUGCAAGAUGCAUUUUUUUGCUUAAGCAAGAUGCAUUUUUUAAUGAAAAGAAGAAAUGCGCUUGCGCUUUUACAUACGUUAAGUACUAUAUUCGGUCAACAAAAACCAUAGUAUGGAAAACAUUAAUCAUUAUAACAGUGAAACCCACUUAGCAUAGAACUUCAAAGGCCUUCACUAAUCACACGAGUGGAGAUUGUAUUUGAGGUAAGGCUUCUCUGAUUUUCAACCCGAAAUACUUUAUUAUUCUUUUUGACCAAUAUUUCUGAUACUUGUUUUAGUUUCAGAUUACUAUUUUUUUACUAGCAAAAUACAUUCGUGCAACUAAGAGUGAAGCGACCGUUUGUGUUUCUAACUUUCUAUUUCAAAUUUUAACAUUUCCAGAACUUUAUUUAUAUCUCUAAAAAUAAUUAUAGAUUUAGGAUAAUAUUUUCCUAGGUUGGAUUUUUAUUUCACAAAUCUUUUAUAUGUAUAAAUAUAUUAUUUCUCCCAAUUAUAUAAAUUUAUAUCAGUGAGAAGGAAAAAUAUGAGAGCAGCUGAAAAAGAGGAAGAUAAAUUGCUCAUGCAUGCAGAGCCAGUCCUAGAAAUCUUAAGGCUAGAAGCCAAAUAUGAAAAAAUGGCCGAAAAUAAAAAUUAUGUUGGUAGGGUUACUCGAACCCGGUUUUGGGAUAUCAAUACAAUGGCUAUUCAACCACUGCACUAUAGACACAUUUUGAAAAAAUGUGGCCGAUAUUUUUGAUAAUAAUUUGCGGCCGGAAGCCAUUGCUUCUAUUGCUUGGACCCAGGUCCGGCUCUGCAUGCAUGCGUGGUGGUAGCCUGGUAGGGUAGUGUGAGUAAGCAUUAGAGCACUUCUAAUGAUAGGUUCUACUCAUUAAAGUUCUAAAUAUGAAUAUAUGUUUAUGUAUAUAUUGUAUAUGUAUACGUAGUUGUGGAGGCCACUAAAUAGUGUAGAACCCCUAUUCAAAGGUUCUAAAAUUUUUGUUUUUAGAACCUUUGAAUAGGAGUUCUAUACUAUUUAGUAGACCUCACAACUACAUACAAAUAUACAAUAUAUACUUACACACAUAUUCAUAUUUAGAACUAUCCAUUGGAAGUGCUCUUAGUUUUAGUUUGCUGUAAAGUAUCACCUUCCAUAUGUCACCGUUUGGUUGGUCUAACGAAUGAGGGUGUUAAAUUAUUUCUCUUUUUAUUGGAGGGUAAUUAGAAAAAAGAAAAAGAAACAUGCAAAAUUUAUUAUUUUCUCCAUCAUAAAUACACGAAAAUAUUCAGUAUCUAUGCUACCUUUGAAGAAAAUGAACUUGGAGGUCUCAUGUCGAAAUUUAAGACAUAUUAACAAGCCUAUCGUUAACGUAUGGUUGUAACUAAUAAACUAGGAUAUUGAUUCGACACAGUUCGAAUUGAUAAAUAUAUUGAUUCGACACAGUUCGAAUUGAAAAUUGCAAAAAACUACAUAAGAACAAAGACCAUGGCAUCAUACCGCUCUUUUUAAUACAUUGAAUCGAUCGAAAUCGCUUAUGGUUCAGAUCAUUUUUGAGUUUCUUUGUUUAGCCUUGAUCUUCAUCACCGAUCCAUCAUCAACUAAACAUGAGCUCUUUAUGUCUCUUCUCUGUUUUUUUUUUUUGUUGUUGAUAAUUCUACUAAUUUCUUGUAUUUAUUUGGAUAUUAAUGUUAAUUUACUGACUUCAGUUUAAUUAUACUGGUAAAAACGUUAGGUUUCUCCGAGUUCUUGAGCUUACAAAAACAGAGUAAAAACAUAUAAUAUAGGUAGAGGAGGAUCAAGCUAGACAACUGCUUGUAUAUGUUGUGAUCUGUGGUUGUCGUUGAAUUGCUGGUGUUGAGAUCGUUGCUGAUAUUAAUGAAGUUGAAUUGGCUCAAAAUCAUGAAACCAGAUCGAUAAAGUAUCAGAGGAUGAAUAAAAAUUUCGAUACUUAAUUAUAAGAAUAUUAUCAAAGGCUAUGACACUACCGAGCGGCAAUGAUCGACAUGGUGAUUUGGUUCACUGUGCAAGAUUCAUGGUCGGGCUGUUUACUCCAAGUCGAGUAAGUUUCACGAGAAUUUCAUAUGACGCAAUAACCUGGCGGGUUAGGCUGAGGAAUAUCUACUGCUUCACUUCCCAGCAUCAAAACAACUGCCGACAUCAGUGGCCUAUCAUCUACACGUGAUUGAACACACAAGAGGCCAAUUUGUAAGCGCCUUAAGAUUUCACGUGGCCUGAACGUUGGGGAUGAAGAAUCUUUUAUGACCAUGUCUACAAUCGCUAGACCUUGACCUUUUUUCCAAUUCCUCCCGGCUCCACACCUGUGCAUAAAGGUUGAAUCUAUUCUUAGUGACAUUGUCAUAGAUUUUGAGUGUGCAACACAAUCAAAUUUUAGAGGUUUCAAGCUUACACAUUGGAGAAGAUUAUGGUCACGGUCCGAGUUGUAGAAUCCUUUAUUCCUCUUGCCACUUAUAAUUUCAAGAAGCAAGACCCUUUAUUCCUCUUGUACACAUCUGACUUCAUGGAGAAUAUCCCUUCUAAAGCGUAUUUUGGGGAUAUGUAGCCACUGCAUAGCAAAUGGUAAAUAGAAAAUAGCUAUCAGGUUUUAAGCUGUAUUUGGGUUAGCUCUUGGCUUCAAAAAUGUGAUGAUGUUGUUAACUGCUUACUAAGUUCCGACCACCUUCCUCGUGUUAGCUUCUGUCUCAUCUCGUCCAAAGAUCCUAGCCAUUCCGAAGUCCAAAAUUUUCGGAGUCAUAUGUAUCUUUAUCAAGCAAGACGUUGCUUGCUUCCAAAUCCCUAUGGAUGAUUCGAAUGGAUGAGUCUUGGUGAAGAUACAGAAGCCCUCGCGCAAUACCAUUGAUAAUAUCAAAUCUCUUUUGCCAAUUUAGCAUACAUCUUCUGGUUUCAUCUGCACAUCGUUCACAACAGAACCAAUUCCAUUAUUAAUGUAUGGCUGUUAUCAGGUUCAUCAAGACAAUGAGACAUGGCCACAUAACAGCAAUACAUUAAUAACUGAAUUGAUUCUGUUGUGAGAUGAAACCAGAAGCUGUAUGCUAAUUGGCAAAUGAUGAUCUUGAUCUACGAGUACUUGGAGAAUCGACUCUCAUCUCUUUGUCUAUGAUAACAGCCAUAUAUUAAUACUUUUAGAAAAUCUACGAAAAAGCCAUGAAAUGAAAAAUUGGCUAUUUGUAUGUAAACUGUGGCAAAAAAAGUUUAAAAUAAUCAUAAAAUAAAAUGUUUUCAAAAUAUCCAAAAUUUGACCAUGAAUAUUUCGUGAAAAAAUUAUAACAAAAUAAGUGGCUAAAACCACAAAAUAGGGGAUAAAUUGUUAUAAAUUUACCUUGUAAACAACACCAAAGUCACCUUUUCCGAUCUUGUUACAAUCACAGAAAUGUUCGGUGGCUAUGAGAACAGCUUCAAACUCCAUCAAUGGAAAUUCUAAAUCUUCUUCUUCGUUCACUCCAGACAAGUUUUUCUCUGUCUUGUUCAUACCACCCCUUAGGGUGAAUCUAACCACGUUCAUUAGAAUUUGGUUUUUCACUUGACAUUUGAACACGUAAAGGAUCAGAAAAUAAAAUAAAAAUUACUGAAAAUUAAAUAAAAGUGAAGAUUAUUACUGAUUUACCUAUAGGUGUUUUUUAAUUUAAAAGAGCCUUAUUUACCUAUAGGUGUUGCAGUUGUCUUUGCUUGCUUCUGUCUCUUCUUCCAAAAGCAGAACACGAUAACACACAGAAUAAGCAUAAGGCCGACUCCUAUACUCUAACCUAUUAAUUUUAUGUCUCUCUCCUCGUCCAAGGAAAGAACUGCAAAGAAUCGUGUCAAAAUUUGAAAGCUAUUAAGUUGACCAACUCGAUUUUUCCGCAUGAAUGGCUAUAUCACUCAUUAAAAGUAAAUGUUAGUUGACUUCGACAGGUUAAGAAAUUAGUAUGAGACCGCGACGUGAGAAAGAAAACAAAAACUAUAUGUAUUACAGUAUGUCUUAUAGGUCGUUGUCGUAUAACAUCUCUUGUGUUUGCAAAAAAGAAAUUGUUUGCUUAAAAUUUGGUGUUUGCAGAAUUAUCUCAUGCAUUUUACCUUCUUGAGAAUUCAUAAUCAUAAUCAUAAAUAUUAUUUAUUCCGUUUCAUUUUAAGUAUGGUUAUAAACUUUAGAAGAUUUUUUAUUAUAACUGUUAUUUUAUAUUUUUAUAUGAAUAAUAGUUUUUUCUACUUUUAUCCCUAUUUCUUAUUUUAUUAAUUAAAAAUUCAAAUAAAAUUAUUUAUUAGUUAAGAAUUUAAUGAUUUUAAAUAUGUGACAAGAACUUUAAAUGACAUAUAAAAUUAAAAUGAAAUAAAGGGAGUACUAGUUAUUAGCCAGCUCGUUUCAUGGAUGAUUCAUAUUUAAAUAUUUUUAUUUAGUUGACCAACAUAAAAAUAUUUUUUCAUGAUUUUUAUUUCUAGCUACUAGUAUUAUCCAUGCAUGUAAAGUGCGGGCUAACUACUGUAUUAUUUUGUAUCUUUUCUUUUUGAAGGAAGCAUUUUGUAUCUUAUAAAAUGAUAUAUUUUGCAUCUAAUAACUUCUACAUCCACUAUUAUUUUUUUUGUCAACAUCACUAUAAAAUCGUUAGCAUAAUAUUUCCAUACAAAUUUGCUAUCAAUUUAUUAGCUAUCACUACGUUACUAACUUACUUACACUGUUCAAUAAAACUUCUUUUUAGAGCUUGACUGGUUUCCCCGCUACCACCCGCAAACGCAGCUUUUGCGGUUGGUAGCGGUUGACAGCGUUUCGAAACAAUCAUACAAACCGUUACAAAUCGCUUCAAACCGCUCAGAACCUCUUAAAUUCAAAAGCUGGUUCCAGCUAGCGUUUGUGGUUGCGGGAGAAUAAUUUUUUUUUCUUUUUUUUUUAAAACCAUAUAAAUACAAAAUAAAAAUAUUUAAUAAAUUUUAUAAAAUGGAAUUAUAAAAAUACUAAAAUAUAUCUAUUAUAUUUUAAUUAAUAUUAUAAAAUUUUAAAAUAAAAAUAUUUUCUAUAAUCUUAAAAAUUUAAAACUAUAACUUUGAAAAUAUAAUUUACAUAUUUAUUAUAAUAUUAUGAUUUUUUGAUAUUUUUAUAAUUAUAUAAAAUGUAAAUAUUGUUAAUUUAUUAUUUAAUCGCUGUUGUAUUUGGUAGUUAACCAGUCAUAAGUAUCCCGCAAACGCACCAAUUUCUAACCGCAGAACCAGUCGUACAAAUCUCUUAAAACCGCAACCACCCGCAUCCGCAAACGCCCGCAGCCGCAACCGCAACCGCUGCGUUUGAACCAGUCAGGCCCUUACUCUAUAAUAUUUGGCCUUUUGUUAUUUACUUCUUUGGAUGAACAGGUCACAUUUGUUAUUUUGAAUUUUGAAAUAAAAGUAUAAAAUAAUUGAUUUUAAACUCUUAUUCAAGCAUUUUCAACUUAACAUAUAUGGACGUAAUAUUUCCUCUAAUUUUUUUAAAAAAAUAUGUAUAACCAACAAAAAAAAUAUAUACUUAAUUAAUUAAAUAAAUUAUUCAUAUAUAAUUUAUUUAUACUCUUAUUCAUUUAUUUUAAAUUUGGUGAAAUAUAUUUAGGUCACAGUAGAUAUCUCAGUUUAUAAUGAGAUUGUGAUAUCCAAUUGUUACCUAAAUCAACAACAGCCACUUUGACAUAAAGAUCUUGACCACCGAUGGAGUAAGACCGGAUAUCAGAGAGGUCUCCGGUCCAAAUCACACAACCCAAUCCUCCAUUUUGAACAUCCCCAGCCGCGAACGACGUACCGUCACAAUCGCUAAGGCACCUCUCUUUACAUUUUUUUCGCAUCAAUCAUCCGGUCCACAAUAGCCAUCUUAGUAUCUGGUAGCUUCAUAUUCUUUAGUAGCGAAAACCCAUUUCCACUGCAGCUCAGUGGUGUCCUCCUCACACACCCAUCUGAUCCUUCUCUCAAGUCCCACUGCUGCCGGUUCUUGGGAUCGAACCCUGCAAAACAGUUACAUAAUUAGGUGACGUGCUUAGGUCGCAAUAAGCAAUAAGCAUAAGGCCCACAGCUUUCAUAAAUAUCGCAGUCGUCCGUUGGUAAAGUCCAAAAAAUGUUCCAUCCCCAUGAUGGCGGGAUCCACGUGAAUCGGUAGAGGUACCCUAACUCACUGAUCUUCAAUCUCGAGUAGAUGCUUUGGUUGGCCAUAAGGAACGUGUAAGCGACCUCCUCACUGUUCUCCGUAUAAUCGUAGACCAUGUAGCUUAAUCCUUGGACCUCCGGUAUGCCACUAAACUCGCUUCCAUUCCAGAGAUACCAACGCGAGAGUGCCGAGGGUUUGAAGAAACCAAGCUCGAAGACUCCACCGGAAGAUACAAGUGUUCUGUUGCUUGAGAUUGUGAGAGAUUCUGUAGACGACAUCAUGUUAACAACGAUCGAAAGGGUAGGAUGAAAUAGAAUCAAGACGAGAAAGAACGAGAAGGUGUAAGAAUGGUGGUAUAUAUUCUGUACACCUUUCAUCUUUUUGACGCACGAUUGAUGAAAAUACCUUGCAUAUAUUAAUAUCGGGUUCCUAUUCAUAUCUUACAAUCUUUAGUUACUUUCGCAAGAAAAUUUGAAAUUAAUUAAUUAUCAUCACGAACCUAGCAGACAAGCAAAAUGUUGUGUUUCAUAUUCCAUGACUUUUUCACCCUUUCAAUCAAUUCAUUUCCGCGAACCUUUUUAUAUCAUUGGUCUACAUUUUUAAAUUUACGCUUUAGUUCUCACGCUGCGAAACAUAGCAUGUGUUCUUCUCAGUGAGAAGAAAAAGAGCAUGUGUUCUUCUAAAGAACAUAGCAUAUGGUGUUCGGCAGCUUGUAUGGUGUUCUCAAGAGCAUCAUACGAUCCAUUCAAAGUUUAUUGAAAAAAUUUCGUACAAUUUCUUCAACGAUUAUGGAAUAUUAAAUUUAGGAUCCGAGUGGUUUCUCCUCUGUCACCUGCAAACGUGGUUCUUUGGCAUUUUAAGCUAGCUUUGCGUUGUAAACAGUUGCAGGUAGAUAAAUAAAUGUAAAAUUAUUUUCAAACAAUAUUUGAAAAUUUAAAAUUUAAUUUUUAGAUUGAAAUAUUAUAAAUAAAAAUUUAAAAUAAAUUUUAGAUUUUAAUUUAUAUUCACUAACAAUGUCAGAAUUUAUAUUAUAAAAACUUUAAACCAAGAAUAUUCUAUAAUAUUUAAGCAAAAAAAAAACUGCUCAUGCAUGCACGGUCGUAGCCUGGUAGGGCAUUGAUCAGUUCCAUUAGUUGGCCGUAAAGUAUAAACUGCCAUGUGUUACGGUUUGGUUGCUCUGGGGGAUGAGUGUGUCAAAACAUGUAACAUUUAUUAUUUUCUCCAUCAAAAGACAAAAAUACACAAAAUAUUCAAUAUAUAUGCAACAUAUGCAGGAAAUGAACUUGGAGUUCUCAGGUCAAACUUAAGACAUUAACAAGUCACAACAUGACUAAUGUUAUAGUUAACAUAUGGUUGUAACGAAUAAACUAGGAAACUUCACGGUUUUCUUUAUAUGUGCGUUUGUUGUAUAAGGGAUUCUAAAUUUUUGGUGAUUUCAUCUUUCUAAUUAAUAAAGAUAUUGAUUUGACACACUUUGAAUUGAAAUUUGCAACGAACUUCAUAAUUAGGAACAAAGCCACGAGCAUCGACAUGGCUCUUUUAAUACAUUGAGUCGAUCGAAAUCGCUUAUUAUUCAGAUAAUUUUGAGUUUCUUUGCUAAACCUUGAUCAUAAUCUUUGUCUGAACAGAGACAGGGAUCUUAACAUCAUGAACACCAUCAGUCCAUGUCAAGCUUCCAAAGAAGUAACCAGUGUUGACUUUAUGGCUCGUUUUAGCCUUCACCUUGAAAGUGAGCACUCUCUUAGCUGCAGAGCUAAACACGAGUGUGUUCGGUGUGACGGUGAGAGUUAUGCCGAGUGGAGACUUAAUCACAGCUUUGUAGACUGACUUGAUGGGUCCAACAUUGGUCACAGUUCUUGUGAGUGUGACUUCUUUUUCAAGAUUUGGAAUUGUGAUUGAAGGUAAGUUCAUAUCAAGAAUUGAUGGCUUAGGAUUUGGACACUUGGUAAUUUUACCGACCAUUCCAGAAAUUGAGGAAUCGUUGUAACCAGCGGAACACAUAUAGUUGAUGUAAUCUUGAAUCCCCAUAUCGUAGACAAGUCCUGGUUUUGAAGCUUUUUGAGGGUUUACAAGACCUCCUCCAUAGUCAAAUGGAUCUGCAAGCUUCUUGUUUGAUCCUUCAGCAAAAAUGGGCUCUCCAGAUGGACUUGUCCUCCAAGCUUCCAAAAAGAGACAGGUUAGUCAGUUUUGUUUGUGUAGUUAAGGAAGAAAAGGUGAAGAACUAAGCAAGAACCUGUUGUGACCAAAGCUGAUCUAACUGCAGCAGGAGACCAGUUAGGGUGCAGAGACUUGAGGAGAGCUAUGAUUCCAGAAACAACAGGAGUCGACAUGGAUGUCCCUGUAUCUAGUCCAAAUCCAUCAUGUUCUCUAGAAUCAAACGGACUUAAUGCCGCGAGUAUGCUCACACCAGGAGCUGCUAUAUCAGGCUACAUAGUGUAAAAUGUGAUAAAUGAUCUAGUUUCAACUUUUGAAGUAAACAACAUAGACCAGAGACAUAACGGCUUUGUAACCUUGAGAAUGGCUGGUGAAACUGAGUUUGGCCCUCUACAUGAGAAUGCAGCAACCUUUGUUGUUGCAGGCAAACCUGUUAAUGUCGUAGCCGAGUUUAUUCUCACCGUAGGAGAUCUGUGAUUAGACUUUGGAUCAAUAAUAUUUAUAGAUAAAAAAAAAAGAGAGAGAGAUGUGACAUUAUAAACAGAGUUUAUUUGCUUCAAGAUAGAGGACCUGGUGGUACGUAUGUAUUGUAAAAUGUCGGUUCCAAGCUCGUAAUCUGCAAAAAUGCACGCAAAAGAAUGGCACCGUUGAAGUAGAUCGUCAGGCUUUUGGGAAAAGAUGACUCCUGCUACACCUUUCAAUGUAAUUGGAGUGGUACUAUCGAAAACAAGAACUGUUUUCCCCUUCAUAUCAACAUUAUCAUGACUGCUUGAGUUCAGGAAGGCUAAACCGGUUGAAAUCUCCGGUCCAGUGUACAGAGAUUCAGCCUAGUUAGACACCAACAAGUUAAAAUAGCUCCAGACUUUAAACUAUAAUUGUUGUUUAGGUUUUUGGGUAAUAAAAGGUAUUAAAACGUACCAAGAAGGUUUGAUUAUUCCCAAGAGUGAUCUUGGUAGGAAAAGACCGGUCAAGAGUAGUAGCAGCAACGGUCAAAAGCCAUGGAGCAACAUUGACAACAGUCUGAGCAGCAGGGCCUGCGUUACCUGCCGCAGCAACAACCGGAAUCCCUUUUGUCACCGCGUGAAAAGCUGCGAUAUUGUCGAGCUUAUCAACCUCUGAAUCCUCUGGAAUACCCCCGCCAAUAGAAACAGACAAAACAUCAACCCCAUCGUGUAUAGCAUCAUCAAAAGCCUUCCACAUAUCAGCAGUUGUACACCCUCCAGCAGGUUCUACUCCGUUCCAACACGCCUUGUAUGCGGCAAUCCGGGCCUUAGGAGCACCACCUCGGACCGUGCCUGACAAGGGAACAAGGUUAUGUCUUAUUAAACCUAUACCUUAACUCCUAAACUAACUUAUAUCAGGGACGGAUCAAUACAUUUAUUAUCAAUUAGUUUUAUGUUGGAAGUCAAUUUUAACUUAAAAUAUAUAUAGUGAAUACUAUCAAAUGUUUCUGUUGGCUUGGUUUAGUCUCAACUACUACUUAUCAUGUACCUUGGGCUAGACCAUAGUAGCUUGCAUUGGAGACGAAUGAGCCUCCGGCUAUUGUGGCUGUAUGCGUGCCGUGACCGAUUAUAUCUCUGCUGGAUUUGAAAUCUUGGAUUAUGGUUCGGUUGAAUUUUCGACGAAUGAGCCUCCGGCUAUUGUGGCUGUAUGCGUGCCGUGACCGAGUGCAUCCCUGUUGGAUUUGAAUUCUCUGACUGUUGUUGUUUUGAAUGUUCCUCCCAUCUCGGCUAGUAGGCCGUUUACGUAGUACUUAGCUCCUAUUAGCUUUUUGUUGCAAUGAAUUGUGGCGUUAAACUUUUCUCCUGAUACACAUUUUCCUCUCCAACGCUUAGGUAUUGGUCCAAGGCCUUGAUCGUUGAAUACCUUUGACUCUGGCCAUAUUCCACUAUCUAUGACGCCGAUGAUAGCUUCACUGCCCAUGUUGGUGUCAUGAAGAAGACCUUUUACAGAUG
rnacentral:lncRNA from 1 species